rnacentral:rRNA from 1 species
AGGGCCUUCGGGUUGUAAAGCUCUUUCGGACGGAAAGAAAUCGCACGGGCCAAUACCCUGUGUGGAUGACGGUACCGUAAGAAGAAGCACCGGCUAACUACGUGCCAGCAGCCGCGGUAAUACGUAGGGUGCGAGCGUUAAUCGGAAUUACUGGGCGUAAAGCGUGCGCAGGCGGUUUGCUAAGACAGGUGUGAAAUCCCCGGGCUUAACCUGGGAACUGCGCUUGUGACUGGCAGGCUAGAGUACGGCAGAGGGGGGUGGAAUUCCACGUGUAGCAGUGAAAUGCGUAGAGAUGUGGAGGAACACCGAUGGCGAAGGCAGCCCCCUGGGCCUGUACUGACGCUCAUGCACGAAAGCGUGGGGAGCAAACAGGAUUAGAUACCCUGGUAGUCCACGCCCUAAACGAUGUCGACUAGUUGUUCGUGGAGGUAACUCCGUGAGUAACGCAGCUAACGCGUGAAGUCGACCGCCUGGGGAGUACGGCCGCAAGGUUAAAACUCAAAG